rnacentral:rRNA from 1 species
GAUGAACGCUAGCGACAGGCUUAACACAUGCAAGUCGAGGGGCAGCACGGGAGUAGCAAUACAACUGGUGGCGACCGGCGCACGGGUGAGUAACGCGUAUGCAACCUACCUAUCAGAGGGGAAUAACCCGGCGAAAGUCGGACUAAUACCGCAUAAAACAGGGGCACCGCAUGGUGAUAUUUGUUAAAGAAAUUCGCUGAUAGAUGGGCAUGCGUUCCAUUAGGUAGUUGGUGAGGUAACGGCUCAGCAAGUCGACGAUGGUUGGGGGAACUGAGGGGUUCGCCCCCCAGACUGGUACUGAGACACCGACCCGACGCCUACGGGGGGCAGCAGUGAGGAAGAUUGAUGCAUGGGCGGGAUGCUGAACAAGCCGAGUCGCGUGAAGUAAGAAGGACCUAUGGUUCGUAAACAUCUUUUGCAGGGGAAGAAAGUGCAGGACGUGUCCUGUUUUGUAUGUACCCUGAGAAUAAGGAUCGGCUAACUCCGUGCCAGCAGCCGCCGUAAUAC